rnacentral:tRNA from 1 species
GCCGCCUUGGCUCAGGGGUAGAGCGCUUCCUUGGUAAGGAAGAGGUCCCGGGUUCGAUCCCCGGAGGCGGCU